AGCAGCCGCGGUAAUUCCAGCUCCAAUAGCGUAUAUUAAAGUUGUUGCAGUUAAAAAGCUCGUAGUUGAAUUUCGGGGUUAGUAGGUUGGUCAUGCCUCUGGUAUGUACUGGUCUCACUGAUUCCUCCUUCCUGAUGAACCUUAGUGCCAUUUAUUUGGUGUUUUGGGGAAUUUGGACUGUUACUUUGAAAAAAUUAGAGUGUUUAAAGCAAGCUAACGCUUGAAUACAUUAGCAUGGAAUAAUGAAAUAGGACGUUCGAUCCUAUUUUGUUGGUUUCUAGGAUUGACGUAAUGAUUAAUAGGGAUAGUUGGGGGCAUUAGUAUUCAAUUGUCAGAGGUGAAAUUCUUGGAUUUAUUGAAGACUAACUACUGCGAAAGCAUUUGCCAAGGAUGUUUUCAUUAAUCAAGAACGAAAGUUAGGGGAUCGAAGACGAUCAGAUACCGUCGUAGUCUUAACCAUAAACUAUGCCGACUAGGAAUCGGAUGAUGUUAAUUUUUAAU
rnacentral:rRNA from 1 species